GAUGAUGACAGAAAGAACGGGAAGAGUAAAAAUUGUCAAAAUUUACCAAUGCUCCGACUAAGCAGAAGGCAAAGACGACAACGAGAGUCUUCAUCUUCCUUUUGAAGUUGUUGUAGAGCUCGAGUACAAUCAUUAAUAAUGACACGUCCUGUAAUUUCUCCCUCCAUUGGGUGCCCGCAAGCAGUACUGUAUUUUUCGGAUGGAACUGUACCGAUAUUUCGCUUCUUGCCACCUAUCAGAAUACAUGUACUUGAAAAGAGAACGGUUGUUAACAUCGAAAGAUUAAUAAAAAUAUAUCUAGAUCAUUUAUUCCGUUUUUGAGGCAUUUGAGAAUAAAAGAGUAGCUUCUCCUAGAUAAA